CUGACACAAGAGAAAGAAAGAUGACAGUCAUAAUGAGGAAGUAACAACUUAGUAAUUACAGGAAGCAAACACGAGCCUAAGAAGCUCCACUUCAGAGAUUUUCAUGAGAAGUGGAGAGAAAAGAGAGACGGAGAGGAACGAUGGUGGAAACCAGAUGGAAUAAAAUGUUUCUUCUAUUGAUGCUGGUGCUUCAGUUCAGCGGAGCUCUGACCAGACAGCUUGACCUCUUCUCCACUGUCAGAGAUGGAGAUAAAGCCACUUUGUCUUGUGAGAAUGUAAUGGAUGAUCAUCAUAACUGUGACAAAACCACCUGGGUCUUCAGUAAUUCAAAAAUACCAUUAGCAGUAGAGCUGGUUACUCUUGGACAAAUUAAGAAUAAGACCAACAAAGACAGACUGAAUGUUACAGCAAAUUGUUCUCUGGUUAUAAAGAAAGUUACAGUUGAGGAUGCUGGUCAUUACUCCUGCAGACAAUAUAUAUCAGAGAAAGAAUUUCAAGAUGCUUGGGUUGAUCUGUCUGUUGUUACUGUGACUGAACAUAAAGACACUGAUCUGGUGACUCUAAACUGCUCUGUGACGACAAACAGACAAUGCAGACACACAGUGAAGUGGCUUUUUAAGGGUCAAGCUGUGGAUAAUGACAACCCAAACAUAAAGACAUCACAGUCUUCCUGCUCUGUUACUGUGAGCUUUGUGAAUAAUUUUUGGGGAUCAUCAAUACCAUAUCAUGACUGGUUUAAAUGUAGUGUAUCUACAGAGACUAAAAAAGAGCCACUGACCUUCAGUCUUCGUCCAUCAGGUGAGGACACAAAAACAACAACAACAACAACUGCAAAUAACACAAAAGGUGAUACAACCACAACAGGAUCUUCAUUCAGUGAUACACCAAAUCUCUGGUGGCUGUACAUUGUUGUGCCUGUAGUUGCAGUAGCACUUUUGAUAAUUGCUGUGAAAGUCACCAGAUCGAGGAGAACUAAAGGGAAAAACACACAAAGAAAUGGCAAUGUUGCCCUGACUUCAGAUCCUGCAGUGGCUCAGUCUGCACCUGAAAUCAGUCAGGACAUGGCUGAUCCUGAGGAUGGUGUUUCCUACGCCUCCAUCAGCUACACCAAGAAAGCCAACAGUAAAGCCAAGAUUCGGAGUAAAAAAGAUGACGAUGACACAGUAACCUACUCCACAGUGAAGGCUUCCUCACCUGAUCCCAGCAGCCUCUAUGCCACCAUCUACAAUCCCAACUCAGGUCCUUAGAUCACCGCUUCUGUUCAGAGCUUCUAAUCUAAAGUGUUGGGUCAUAACUACAGUGGCACAGUUUAAAAAGCAGAAGUCAAACCACAACAUUUUUACUGAAGGUUGCUUAAAAUGCUUCAUGAACUGUGUGAAUGUUGGGUUUAUUUUGGGUUUAUUUUUCAAGGUUUAGCAUAUAGUUUAUUUUCAAAAUAUAUAUUGACUGUAUUCUUCUGCAAAUGUAAUAAUUUAUCUACAUGAAGAUUAGUUUGAUAGCCUAUAACCUAAGUUUGAUAACCUAUCAUUAUCUGAUAUGCAGUACUUUGGUCAUUUCUGAAAUGAAUCAUUGUGAAAACGUUUGUAAGAAGGAUGUCAUGCAUCUAAGAAUGUGAGAAAUAGCCACCGAUAAUUAAUUUGAGGAAGUGGCUGAUUCUCUUUAAGAACCUACUAGUUUAGAGACGUUUGAGGACAAAAGAGGAAAGACAGACAGAAACGCAGAUGGUUAAAUUCAGAUGGAUUAAAAUGUCAUUAUUUCAUGUGGUGGCUAAUGGCAGAUGUGAUUUUUUGGAAAUACUUACAUUUGUCCCUUAAAAAUGGCCUUUGCACAAGGAUCAAAUGUGAACAUUGUUAGGCUCAUGUAUUAUGUUGCUGUGAUGCCACCUGUAGGUGAAAUGUCAGUUUACACACCAAGAGCAACCAAAUCAGUAAUUUUAUUUAGAUGGAACCUCAUCAUGGGCCUAUGUUAUUUAAUAAUGAAGUUUACAAAAUAGAGAGACUUUAUAGAAUAGAAAUGAUUACUUAAAAGCCAAGGAAAAAGAACUGUUUUUAGUUUAUGUCUAAAAAUUGCAACAUUUUGGGCAGAUCUGAGUUCUAAGGGGAACUGGUUGCAGCAGCAGCAGGCAGAAAAAUGACUACACACUUAUUACCACUUCAUCAUGUCUGAUCUGAACUCACCAGUCCCUGCAGAUCCGUGAGAGCUUCUGGGCCUUAGCAAACAAUUCUUCAAUAUAUUUCAGGCCCAGAUCAAACAGAAACUAGUGGACAAAAGGUAUUGCCUUAAGUUCAGCUCUAUAUUUAACUGGAAGCAAGUGAAGUGACCUGGGUAUUGAAGUAGUGUGUUCUCCUUUGUUGGUGUUUGUCGGUAUUCUAGCAGCAGCAUUUCCAAAGGUUUCAAAUGCCUAAAGGUCUUAUUUUGGAGGCCAUUAAGAAGUGCAUUAUGGUAUUACAGCUUUGAUGUUUAGAUCUUAAUCAAUGACUACACCAAGACUGUUGUCUUUUUUAUUACUGCCCUGCACUCGUGGUAAGCUCUGAGAGCCAGGAGAGCUGAUAUGUCUACCAGUCAUUUUAAACUUUGCAGUUUUGUGUUAAAGAAGUAUUUAGGUCUGUUUUUAUUAUAUAAGCAAAAUACAUUUAAAUGUAACAGUAAAAGUUACCAGCUUGUUGGAAAAAUUACCUUUAUCAAUGUUAUAGUUUUCUAUGUUGUGUUAAAGAGAUUUUAAGUGAUGCAUUAUAAUUAGCCAGCUGCAACAGAGCUCACUUUAUGUAGUAUUUAUAUUCCUAGUUUAAUUUACUGGAUAACAAUGCUCUGUGUUUUAUUUGCUCUUUGUGUGGUUAUCUGAAAUUCAUGUUGGAGCUAAAGUCAGAGAAAAUCAGAGUUUUAGAAACGGGUUAAAAUUAUUAGUUAAUCUUAAAUAUAAGUAGCAAGUCUAUAUUUAUCAAAGUUACUUGUGAGGUGGCAACUUCACCUCUAUAUGUGUGUGUGUAUGUGUGUGUGUGCAUUACUUGUAAUUGAUGCAAUUAUUAAAGUCAUAUCAAGUUUACCACAGCUGUGUGACCGGUGGAAAAAAAAGUCAAAAUAAAAGUUGUCC
ensembl:lncRNA